rnacentral:rRNA from 1 species
UUUCCGUAGGUGAACCUGCGGAAGGAUCAUUACCGAAAAAAUCUCGGCAUGCUUUCGAACGAGAGCAUCGUCGGGCGUUGCACGAUGUUGGUACAUACCAACCGGCUGUGCGGGCAGACGCAGUCGUGAUUCCACAAGAACCACAGUGUACACAGAGUACACACAGAGACGGUAACACAUUGCCAGUCCGUAACGUUGUUGUUAUUGAAUACUUGUUGCAACUUCGGGGUACCUGUCGUGCACGCGGCGCCGAUCGACCGUAUUUGUCGGCGUCGUGCGGUACGAUGAGCAGGUAGCGGGCAAUCCCCGCGACUUUGCGAAGGUUCAAAGAAGCGCUGCUGCUGCCGAACGUUCGUCUCUCUGGUCGACCGUAUUUGCCGGAGUUCGGACGCGACAGGUGGCGGCGCUCGCCCCGAAGCCAUUUUUCUGUUUUCGUACGGUUGCUAUCGGUCGCCUGUUGGCCGACGGAGACCGCCCCCGUCGUCUGGGGCGGACGACGUCGUGCCCGCACGGCGCUGCCCAAUCGAGAAAGAGAGUACGAGACAACUCUAAGCGGUGGAUCACUCGGCUCGUGUGUCGAUGAAGAGCGCAGCCAGCUGCGUGAAGUAAUGUGAAUUGCAGGACACAUUGAACAUCGAUAUCUUGAACGCACAUUGCGGCCUCGGGUAUUCCCGAGGCCACGCCUGUCUCAGGGUCGGUUGAACUUAUCUAUCGUCGGUUGACCGUAUUUGCCGACGCAUUGGACCGUCGCGGAGCGCUGACCGUAUAGGCGGCUCGAUCGGUUGACCGUAUUUGCCGAUCGCGUCGCCGCGCGCGCCACGUCGUCCGAAGUACAGACGGGUCUGCUGCCUAAGCCUUGCCGACCGCACGUCCUAAGUCCGCCCCUGCGCGGACGGGGACGGCGACUCGGACCGUAACAGAGAAGCCGUUGCCCGUCGUUGCUGUGGAGCGGGACGGUCGGUGUAGGCCGUGGCAGUGACCCAAGAACGCGAAACGAUCGGUUGACCGUAUUUGCCGAUCUUUCUCUUCUUCGACCUGAGAUCAGACGAGAUUACCCGCUGAAUUUAA